UUGAAUUCCACUUGGUCACUGCAAUUAACCACAAGAGUUAAGCAAACGAAUGAACCAAAGCUGGUAAACUUGUAUGGAAGAUUGAUCUGAUCAUAUUUUUACCUUUCUUCCUUUUCAGCUUCUUGCUUGGGGAUUUCGUACUGGUGGGGUACGCUGCCUUUACCCUUGGCAUCCGGUGCCGAUUGAUGCCCUCCAUGAGUGUAGUUUUCGUUAUCACUAUUGG
rnacentral:lncRNA from 1 species